CCUGGCGACAAUAGCGGUUUGGAACCACCUGAUCCCAUCUCGAACUCAGAAGUGAAACGAACAUGCGCCGAUGAUAGUGUGAGGCUUCCUCAUG
rnacentral:rRNA from 1 species